rnacentral:misc_RNA from 1 species
GAUUUGUUGUUUGUUUACAUUUUUUAUUAUGAAUUUGUUUUAUUUUUGUUGAGUGAUUUCAAUUCUUUGGUUUAAAUUUAUUGGAAUAUAUAUAAAACUAAAAUAAAAAAAUCACGUCACGAAUCAAAUGGAAGUCAAACAAGAAAUUAGCGAAGAAACGUGUAAAAUAGAAAUAGAGUAUAAUGACAUGGAUGACUUUAAAUGUGAAAUACAGGAGGAAUCCAAUGAGCAAACUACUCAUGACACAUAUGAUGUUGGAGACUUAAAGAAAUGCCCCAUAAAAACUGAAAUCGAACAUGGAAAUAAACUCAACCCAUUUGAAGAAAACCAAAAAACUGAAAACGGUCAUGUUCACGAUGAAAGCAAGAUAGAAAUUAUUGAGAAACUCAUUGGAGAUUUGUCUUACGAAGGAAAUGAUAUGAAUCGACAUAAUGAAGGAAAAACAUUAAAUAAAAAUAUGCAAGUUGUGACUGGAAAAAUACCUUAUAAAUGUGACACAUGUUUUAUGCAAUUUAGUCGAGGAGGUGAUUUGAAAAAACAUUUGAGAGUGCACACUGGAGAAAAACCUUACAAGUGUGAGAUUUGUUUUAAGCAAUUUAGUCAAGCAGGUGAUUUGACAAGACAUUUGAGAGUGCACACUGGAGAAAAACCUUAUCAGUGUGAAAUUUGUUUUAAGCGAUUUAGUAAUAGAAGUAAUUUGAAAAGACAUUUCACAUUGCAUACCGGGGAAAAACCUUACAAGUGUGAGAUUUGUUUUAAGCAAUUUAGUGAUGCAAGUAGUUUUAAAACACAUUUGAAAGUGCACACUAGCGAAAAAUCUUACAAGUGUGAGAUCUGUUUUAAGCAAUUUAGUGAUGCUAGUAGUUUGAAAAGACAUUUCAGAUUCCACACUGGGCCAAAACGUUACAAGUGUAAAAUUUGUUUUAAGCGAUUUAUUCAAGCAGAUAAUUUGAAAAGACAUUUGAGAGUGCACACUGGCGAAAAACCUUACAAGUGUGAAAUUUGUUUUAAGCGAUUUAGUGAUGCAAGUUAUUUGAAAAUACAUUUGAGAGUGCACACUGGCGAAAAACCUUACAAGUGUGAAAUUUGUUUUAAGCAAUUUUGUCAAGCAUGUGAUUUGAAAACACAUUUAAGAGUGCACACUGCAGAAAAACCAUAUAAGUGUGAAAUUUGUUCUAAGCAAUUUAGACAAUCAAGAACUUUGAAAAGUCAUUUGAGAAUACACACUGGAGAGAUGCCUUACAAGUGUACAAUUUGUUUUAAACAAUUUAGAGAAGCACGAACUUUUAAAAUGCAUUUAAGGCUACACACUGGAGAGAAGCCGUAUAAGUGUGAAAUUUGUUUUAAGCGAUUUAGUGCAGCAUAUAGUUUAAAAAGACAUUUGAGAGUGCACACUGGAGAAAAACCUUACAAGUGCGAAAUUUGUUUUAGGCGAUUUAGUGAAUCAGGACAUUUGAAAAAACAUUCAAAAAGGCACACUGGAGAAAAGCCAUAGAAGUGUCAAAUUUGUUUUAAGCGAUUUAGGCCCGGUACUUUGUCUCGAUUAACAGCCCGUUAGUUAACGGAGGUUUAAUCGGGACCUUUUUAGGGUCUCUUGCGUUGUAAUAAUUGCAAUUACAAGUAUUAUUAUAAUUAUAAAUAAGUAUAAAUUAUAAUAAUAAUUAUAAUUGCAUUUAUUACAACGCAAGUGACCCUAAAGAGGUCCCGAUUAAACCUCCGUUAACGAACGGGCUGUUAAUCGAGACAUAAAGUACCGGGCCUUAGUGCAGCAGGUAGUGCAGGCAGGCAGUAAAAAGACAUUUGAGAGUGCACACUGGAGAAAAACCUUACAAGUGUAAAAUUUGUUUUAAGUGAUUUAGUCAAGCAGGAAAUUUAAAAAGUCAUUUCAGAACACACACUUCAGAAAAACCUUACAAGUGUGAGAUCGGCUUUAAGCAAUUUAUUCAAGCAGUUUAUUUGAAAAAACAUUCGAGAGUGCACACUGGAGAAAAACCUUACAAGUGUGAGAUUUGUUUUAAGCAAUUUAGUGAUGCAAGUAGUUUGAAAAGACAUAUUUGAGAACACACACUGCAGGAAAACCUUACAAGUGUGAGAUUUGUUUUAAGCAAUUUAGUCAAGCAGGGCAUUUAAAAUGUCAUUUGAGAACACACACUGCAGAAAAACCUUACAAGUGUGAGAUCUGUUUUAAACAGUUUAGUCAAGCAAGUGCUUUGAAAACACAUUUGAGAGUGCACACUGGAGAAAAACCUU